rnacentral:lncRNA from 1 species
ACAAAUAUUCUUUACUGUAACAAACCCAGUUUUUUCCAUUUCCAAGAUUUAUUUAGCCCCACAUGCCUCCUGAGCCACCUCCUCAAUGGAGAGCUCCAACAAGAUGUCUCAGUGUCUUCAUGUUUCACUCACCUGUGGAGUCAUGUUUGGCUGAAGAGUCAUAUCAGGUAUCCCUGGGUUCUUAUGUCAUACCAUCACCGUGAUAGCCAACUAUCAACUUUACAGCCUUCUACUUCUAUGUAAAUCACUGUGCCUGCUCCUAAGUUUCCUUUCUACAGGGUUGCAACCCCUGUCUGAAUUCCCUGCUGAAGGAUGGAGAACUAUUUUCUGGUUUACUAAAUGCCUCAUUUGAUCCUCCUGGCGUGAACAAUUUAGCAAAUGCCUAGAGCCUCUGAAAAUAUCUCUUGAAUAUUUGCAAUAGCUUCUGACUUCCACUGGCUGGUCCAUGUUACCCAGGUCACCAGAAUGUGAUAGAAAACUGAGGUUACACUAUCCUAAUCUGCCUCCAUUUUAUUUCUGAAUCCAUCUCACUACAAAAUCUCUCCUGCUCUACUGUUACAGACACAAGUUGCGAGGCAUAAAUGUAGAGAAAUGUUCUGAUUUGGGUUGGAGGCCCAGGUGGAGGUGGACAGGAGAUUGCAGUACACCAGAAGUGGCCCCCCUGACAUCUCCAUGACUGUGCCAUUCCACAGGGUAUGGGAGAAAUCUCUUUAAUGCCUGCAUGUAUAUUUCUAUACAUGCAUCCAUAAAAAUUGAGUUGUCUGCUUUCAUUCCAAGAUGCCAAACAUCUGGGUAUA